UGAUGGUGAUGGUGAUGAUGAUGAUGAUGAUGAUGAUGAUGAAUUACAUUGAUAGCAACAGUAAAAAUGGUAAAUUUACAUAUUAUAUACAGUAAUGACGUAGAUAGCCAUCAUCAUCAUCAUCAUCAUCAUCAUCAUCGUCA
rnacentral:pre_miRNA from 1 species